rnacentral:rRNA from 1 species
GAUGAACGCUAGCGGCAGGCCUAACACAUGCAAGUCGAGGGAGAAGCCCUUUCGGGGGUGGAAACCGGCGCACGGGUGCGUAACGCGUAUGCAACCUACCUUUCACAGGGGGAUAGCCCGAAGAAAUUUGGAUUAAUACCCCAUAAUAUUAUUGGAUGGCAUCAUUUGAUAAUUAAAACUGCGGUGGUGAAAGAUGGGCAUGCGUCCUAUUAGCUAGUUGGAGUGGUAACGGCACCCCAAGGCUACGAUAGGUAGGGGUCCUGAGAGGGAGAUCCCCCACACUGGUACUGAGACAGGGACCAGACUCCUACGGGAGGCAGCAGUGAGGAAUAUUGGUCAAUGGUCGGAAGACUGAACCAGCCAUGCCGCGUGCAGGAAGAAUGCCUUAUGGGUUGUAAACUGCUUUUAUAUGGGAAGAAUAAGGCGUACGUGUACGUUGAUGACGGUACCAUAUGAAUAAGCAU